rnacentral:lncRNA from 1 species
AAUUUCGCUACCUCCAAUGGUAGACGCUACAACGAUGGGUGUCGUCAAGAAAGGUACAAUUAAUGGAAUCAGCUAGGAAUUAGACGAUCACCAUUGGUAUCGGUGAGUUAUUUAAUAGUUGUUGCAUUGGGAUAAUUGCAUGUUUUGGAUUAAUUCAUAAUCAGGAAUAGCUGGGAAGAAAAGAAACGUGUUGCUACGUGAACCCGGAAAGGCCGGGACGAAUUAAAAAAAAAAUCUAGAGACGAUCGUUCUGAGUGUGCCACCUACACAUUCAACAUGUGUGCACCUACACAUUCAAACAUGUACACAAGCACAGUAUUCCCUAUCUAUGUAAUGUGUUUUCAUAAUUAUGUGAUAUAGAGCAAAAAAAGGUAGCAGUUUUUUGUGUCUUGUUGUUAAGCAUUUCCAGGGGAGAUAAUGUUAUUUUUCACGGUGUGUUAACGUUUGAUAGGUUUGUUACAUUGUAACAUUAUAUAAUACACACUCAUAAAGUGGAUUAAAAUAGCCUCCCACACUCAAUUAACUGAAUUUCAAUUAUUCUAUUUACUGGAGUGCUAUUACAUAAGACUUCGGAGGUUCAUAUCACUUAUAUUCAACGUUUUUAUAUCGGAUUUUUUUACUAUUGAUGUUGAACGGUUCAUAGUAAAAAAAAAAAAUCCGAUAAAACCGUUGAAUGUAAAUGAUAUGAACCUCAGAAGUCUUAUAUAUUGUCCUUUAAUAUAAGACCGGAGGUUCAUAUCAUUUACAUUCAACAUUUUUUAUCGAAUUUUUGUUUACUUUCAAUGGUGAACGGUUCAACAUUGGUAGUUAAAAAAAAAUCCGAUAAAAAUUAAUGGUUCAACAUUGAUAGUAAAAAUAAAUCCGAUAAACAUGUUGAAUGUAAAUGAUAUGAAACUCUGAAGCCUUACAUUAUUGGACUAUCGAUUAUUAGUUCUUUAUCCUAACUAAAUGUUUUUUUGUGGUGUAUAUUACAAAAAAAAGGGGGGGGUAAAAACACAAAAAUACCUCAACAAUCCUACAAUAUAAAAAAGAAGAUGUGGUAUGCCAAUGAGACAACUGUCAACAAGAUACCAAAAUGACACAGACAUUAACAACUCUAGGUCACCGUACGGCCUUCAACAAUGAGCAAAGCCCAUACCGCAUAGUCAGCUAUAAAAGGCCACGAUAAGACAAUGUAAAACAAUUAAAACGAGAAAAUUAAUAUCUGUUUACGGAAUGAGAAAUAUUUCGUAUUCUAAAACUUAUGUUUCUCACAUGUUUGUUAGACAUGUUGAAAAUACAGACAAAUGUUUUGUACGUAUACCCUCUCUUUUUCAAUUCAUCAUUAGUUCAAGAUACAGCUCUGAAGAAUAUGCAAUAACCUAACAUUGAUAAUUUAGCUAACAAUAACUUCAGUACAUUUUUCUAACAAGUGAAGUGCAUUUUUCUAAGAAGUGAAGACCAAUGAAAUCAUUUGAUAUGAUUUGAAAAAAUGGCCAAUUAAGUAGGAUCUUGUGCCAAGUUGUGGUUUCGUAGACAUAAAUGAUAAUUCAACAUUUUCUAUUUAUAUUUUUCUUUAUUUAAUAUUCUAGUAUAUUUAAUAACAUGUUUAUAUUUUGUGACGCAUCUGAUGUAUAAAUCUAGUGCCAGAUGCGGGAAAGAGCUCUUAGUUCCGAUCCGUUUGUACGGGGAACAUGUGGUUGCAACCCCCUCUUUAAUUGCCUGUUCGAUUUUUUGUUUGCAGUGUCGAAAAGGGAGUAAAACAGCAGUUUUAUCAAGAAGUUAUGUGAAAGUUCUGCUAUACAUCUGACAGCCAGGAAUUAUUCUGAAGUACACAUGUCGACCAGAGACAUGGAACAGAGAGUAGAGGUUUUAAAGUACCAGAUGCUUAUCUGAGAUUCCAAUUUGAACUAAAGAAAGCAAUACAUAAAGAUAUGUAGGAG